rnacentral:rRNA from 1 species
UACGUAGGGUGCAAGCGUUAAUCGGAAUUACUGGGCGUAAAGCGUGCGCAGGCGGUUUGCUAAGACAGGUGUGAAAUCCCCGGGCUUAACCUGGGAACUGCGCUUGUAACUGGCAAGCUGGAGUGUGGCAGAGGGGGGUGGAAUUCCACGUGUAGCAGUGAAAUGCGUAGAGAUGUGGAGGAACACCGAUGGCGAAGGCAGCCCCCUGGGCUAACACUGACGCUCAUGCACGAAAGCGUGGGGAGCAAACAGG